UGCCUGUGUUCUCCUCAAGGAUUUUGAUGGAUUCCUUUCUCACAUUGAGGUCCUUCAUCCAUUUUGAGUCUAUUUUUGUGUGUGGUGUAAGGAAAUGGUCCAAUUUCAUUUUUCUGCAUGUGGCUGUCCAAUUUUCCCAACACCAUUUGUUGAAGAGGCUGUCUUUUUUCCAUUGGACAUUCUUUCCUGCUUUGUGGAAGAUUAGUUGACCAUAGAAUUGAGGGUCUAUUUCUGGGCUCCCUAUUCUGUUCCAUUGAUCAUGUGUCUGUUUUUGUGCCAGUACAAUAUGAUGAUGACAGCUUUGUAAUAGAGCUUCAAAUCCUGAACUGUGAUGCCACCAACUUUAGCUUUCUUUUUCAAUAUUCCUUUGGCUAUUCGAGGUCUUUUCUGGUUCCAUAUAAAUUUUAGGAUUAUUUGUUACAUUUCUUUGAAAAACAUGGAUGGGAUUUUGAUAGGGAAUGCAUUAAAUGUGUAGACUGCUUUUAGGUAGCAUAGACAUUUUCACAAUAUUUGUUCUUCCAAUCCAUGAGCAUGGAACAUUUUUCCAUUUCUUUGUGUCUUUCUCAAUUUCUUUCAUGAGUACUUUAUAGUUUUCUCAGUAUAGAUUCUUUGCCUCUUUGGUUAGGUUUAUCCCAGGGUAUCUUAUGGUUUGGGGUGCAGUUGUAAAUGGGAUUGACUCCUUAAUUUCUCUUCUGUCUUGUUGUUGGUGUAAAGAAAUGCAACCGAUUUCUGCGCAUUGAUUUUAUAUCCUGACACUUUACAAAAAUAUGGAACACUUCACGAAUUUGUGUGUCAUCCUUGCGCAGGGGCCAUGCUAAUCUCCGUAUCGUUCCAAUUUUAGGAUAUGUGCUGCUGAAGUGAGGACUUAAGUGGUGUAUUUUUAUGAAAGUUUUCUAUCAUUAUUACUGCAGAGAAAUUUGAGACUAUAAAACAGGAAGAGGCUGAUGAGCAAGAAAAAGCUAACUGCCUGAAUGAGUUUCUUGUGAGGUGGGAAGACGUGGGAGUCAGGACACAGAUGGCUUUUCUCAGACAGGAAGAGAAACCUUUCCCUGAAUCCUUAGGAAGCCAGUGUGGUGGCAUGUAGGCAUGAAAAGUUGCCCAUAGUAUGUGAGUGAGUAGCAAAACAGAAAAACAGUUUUACUGCUAUUUCAGAAACAAGUAGAUGUAAGUGAGGAAAAUCAAACUUAUGCAAAAAAUUAAAGUUUAAAACAUGGAAGCUUAAUAACUGGUGUCCAUAGCGUGUAGCAUGUAGAGUAGGUAACAGGCAACUGCAUAUCCACGUGGUUUUAAUCUCCAGAGCAGAACGUACUUUACUGAUUUGGGAAGAAAAUCACUUAGCAUUCACAGGAUCACCAAGGAAGAACCGAUAGUUCAUGUGCCAAAUAUCAAGGGCAUUGGCUACUCAGAAGUGGGGGCUGGAGGUCAGUAGCGUGGGUGUCACUCGGGAGUUUUUAGAAGUGCGGACUCCCAGGAUUCACCCCAGACCUACUGCAUAAGCAUCUGCAUUUUAUUAAGAUCCUCCGGGGAUUCAUGUGUGCAUUAAAGUUUGAGAAGUGAUCUGCUGGGGCACCACUCCAUUCCCAGUGCGGUGUGGUGAUAUCUGUGCUUAGUGGAGGGAUGGAAGUGCCUGUGGAGUUGGGGACGUAAGUGGGCCUAAUGGCGACAAGAGGUGGUCAGAAUGGCCCCCGGUGGCACUUUACUGAAACCUACGUGAAAAUCAAAAGGGAUGGAAUGAAAGGAGACAUGUUUUUGUUUUGUUUUUGUAUAAAAUCAAUUGCUUUUUCCAGUAAGGCUGUGCUAUGGACUGAAUGCUUGUGUCCCUCAAAACUCGUGUGUUGAGACGAAUCCCUAAUGUGAUAGUAUUAGGAGAUGGAGUCUUUGGGAAGUGAUUAGGUCCUCAGGAUGGAGACCUUGUGAGUGGGAUUGUAUAAGGGGUAAGUGCCCUUAUAAAAAGAGAGAUGAGAGCUGACCCUUUCUAUUCUCUGCCUUGCCAGGAGAAGAUGGCUACCCGCAAACCAGGAAGCAGUGGGGCCACCCUCGCCAGACAUUGGAUCUUGCUGGCACCUUGAUCUUGGACUUCUCCACCUCCAAAACUGUGAGGAAUAAAUGUCGUUUUAGUCACCCAGUCUGUGGUAUCUGUUAUAUUCUGCUCUGACAACCUUAGCUGAGGCUGGUUAGGUCAAUGCAGUUAAUAAAACUCAUAGAUGUAGACCCCCACUGCCUCUCCUCCUACAGACUAGUUGACACUGGCUGCUGGAAAACUGGACUGAACAGAGACAGGCAUGUUCUCUAGAGGCCAGCAUGAGCUAGCCUGGGGCCAGAGCCACACAGGCUAUUAAAAAAUCCUCUCCCGGCCUUUACCAUGUCCCAAGGGAGGAGAAGAACAGGGAGUCAACCUAGUGUAGGCUUACCAGUACCAGUUGGCUCUAGAGUUUGUCAUAUCCGGUUAUAAAUCCAAGUCCUAGAUUCAGGACCUGGAUAUUACACUUACGGACUGUGAGAUCUUGGGCAAGUUAUUUGACCUCUGUGUGCUUCGGUUUCCCAAUUUGUAGAAUGGGGAUAAUAGUAUCUACGUCAGUAAGUGGUGUUCCUUGUGAAGAUGAACUGAGAUAAUGCCCCCGAGGUAAAAUGCCUAAGUAAGCAUAGCGCUUGGCAAAUGCUGUUGAUAUAUUUUAUUAUUGUUAUUAUCAUGAGGAGAGCUCUGUUGUCCUUGCUGGAAUUGGAGGGGAUGGAGAUUGGUAGGUAGCUUGAGAAGAAGUAGUUUGGAAAUAACUCUUGAGGGAAUAAGAGAAGGAACUCAUCAGGGACAUUUAAGAUGUCCCAAGGGAGGGGCAACUUGGUGGCUCCGUCGGUUAAGUAUCUGUCUGCGGCCCAGGUCAUGAUGCCAGGGUCCUGGGACUGGCCCAUGUUAGGCUCCUGGCUCGGGUGGGGGGAGUCUGCUUCUCCCUCUUCCUCUGUCCUUCUCCGCAGCUCAUUCUCUCUUUCUCAAAUAAAAUAUUUUUGUCCCACAGGAUUGCAGGGUAUUCUCAUAUUGUUCAGCAGCCCAGGUAGAUGGAGAAUGUGUUCAGUUGGAUCGAUCUGCAUGUAUAACCGAAGAAGUGAGACGAUUAGGGGAUUGACGUGAAAAGGUCCUUCCCUGAAAGACAGAGGAGACCAGACUGAAGUAACAGUGAUAGAGAAGAUCACGCGAAAACAAAGCUGCAGGUGGAGUUCGCGACUGAGGGGCUCCCUGGACGUUUUCCGGAUGAAAAAUUGGGAUGGAUGAGCUGUCAGUGCGGCUUGUGGAGCGCGGCCCCGCGGCACUCUGGCCGGGCCCCCCAAGAGAUCACAUGGGCGUGUUGUGACAAGGUAAGGAAACAGAAGCAGUUCAUGCUCUGCAAAUUUUAAUGACAUUUCUCUGUUUCCCCUGGAAAUUUUAUAUGGAUCCUACUUUUAGUAUUUCUCUUACAGGAAAAGAAAUCCUCUUUUUGCUCUAAUAAGAAAAAGAAGUUUGUAAUUAGAUGCUAAUGUUGUCAAUCAUCUCUGUCCAAGAAAGGCUGUGAAAGGGGGUCAAGUUGUCUAGCCGCUUGGAUGCAGUUCCUGAGUUCAGUCCCUGGAGGGUUACCAUAGCAUACCUGGGGUCAAUCUCUCCCUUUAAGGUUUCAAGUGAUUUGGGCUUCUAGAGGGAAAAAAAAGUGGCCUGAAGAGGGAUGGAUGCUAGCUGAGUAUUAUUUGACUUUAUCUUGGGUAAACAAUGAAGGGGGAUGAAAAAUAAAAACCCUCUUUGAAUGCAAUGCUGUUCUCUUGUGUGCAGAAAUUUUUGUCUUGCUAGUUUUAUCAAGAGUCACUUAAUUAACAGGAGCCUAGCAGAGAAAAGAGAAUCACUCCUUUUUUUUUUUUUACAAGAUCCUAGAACAGUGAGGUAUGGGCAAAGAAAAAUGUUGUCAUGAUUUGAACAAUGGUGCUCAAAAGGAAAUAUUAUGAAAUCUACAUCCCUCCACUGAGCAAUUGAACAGCAUGCCUUACAUUUGAUUAGUGCUUUAUAAUUUCCAAAACACUUACUUAUUUGCUUGUUUGUUCCUUAAAACAAAUGUAUGAGGUAGACAUUUAUUAUGCCCAUUGUACACUGGAGAUAAUCGAGGCUCCAAGAGGUUAAGGGGCAGUGCCAUCAUCUGAACCAUGGCUGGUGUGCCCCUAAGCCAAUGGACGCGCCUUCCACUGACGCAUCUAUUCAGUGUUAUUUUUAAGUAUUUUAACUAUCAAAAUCAGCUUUGAUCCUGUUGUUGUGGACUAAUGAGGAAUAUGUCUUUUUAUUUAUUUGACAGAGAGAGAGAGA